UAAUCUGACCUGGCUGCUGAUGGCUUGUGGCUUAUUGGCUCGGUUUCUGCUCUGAAGUAGAUUCUGGCAACCCCCGAGACACUUGGUGGAGAGGAUAAGCUCAGGCACACGCGAAUGUAUGCGCAUAGACAUGGAUACACGCGUGGAACACGCAUACGUGCACACACAACCCGCAGAGGCCGUCUAUUCUUAGCCUUAUUUUCUGAAGCAACUCCUCAACUCCUGUAUGUCAUUGUUAAAUUAAUAGUUUACUGCAACUUUUGGUGAUUAAUUAUGUGUUUGGGAGAGGUGUCAGUAUACGGGAGAUAAAAAUCUUACUACAGCAGUCUCAAAACUCAGGGUUCAGCCUUCCUUCUUUACUACAGCUGCUAGCACCUGGGUGCAAGCGAGAGGGCUUAUUGGCUCAGUGUUCUGCAGAAGGAAACACGAGGGACGGGGUUACCUCGUCUCUCUUUAAGGUUUCAGAUUACUUUGCCAGUCUUUGGGCAAGAAAACUCCCUCUUUGGAUCUUCCCCACUCCAAGCGAAAAACAAUGCCCACAGUGCUCCGCUUAGGGCAAAUUGUCACCAAAGGCAACAUUACAUCCAGUGGAUCAAACAUUACUCACUGGCAGUAAAAACUCCAUUUCUAGCAUGGUGGUGCAUCAAAAAGUGGAAUCCGUGCAGUUUGCUUUUGAGACAAUUUCAAGGCUACAGCAGUUAUCUAGGAAGGAUUUCUCUAAACUGUUAUCCAACAUAAAUCAGCUUUGGCUUGGUGAUAAUUCCAUGUGGUGUGAGUCUUGAUUAAACCUUUGCUUUUGAA